rnacentral:rRNA from 1 species
UACGAAGGGGGCGAGCGUUAUUCGGAAUUACUGGGCGUAAAGCGUGCGUAGACGGUUAUUUAAGUCGGGUGUGAAAGCCCCGGGCUCAACCUGGGAAUUGCAUUCGAGACUGAAUAGCUAGGGUACGGUAGAGGGAAGCGGAAUUUCCGGUGUAGCGGUGAAAUGCGUAGAUAUCGGAAGGAACAUCAGUGGCGAAAGCGGCUUCCUGGACCAGUACCGACGUUCAGGCACGAAAGCGUGGGGAGCAAACAGG